GGCAGCGUGGCUUAAUGGAAAGAGUGUGAGACUGGAAAUCAGGAGACCUGGUUCUAGUCCCAGUGCUGCUC
rnacentral:tRNA from 1 species